ensembl:lncRNA
UUUCUCUGGAGAUUCCUGCCUACUGGAGGCCUUCUGAAGGGUGUCAUAACCUGUUGCUGCAGAAAUUGGACUUAAUAAUCCUUAUGGGUCUGUUCCAACUUGGGAUAUUCUGUGAAGACCUUGCAUUGCCACAGCAAAGUGCUGGAUGUAAUGUUUAGAGCAGAUGCCAGUAAUAGAGGUGGGGAGGAAGACUCACCUGCCUGUCCUUUUAAAUGAGCAGAUCAUUUCUUUUUGUAAUUUUGUAACUGAUGUUAUUUCCACUUUGAUGUCAUCUAUAUCAGUUUCUCAUUCUCCCUUGUCAAAUUCCCCCCCUUUAAACAUACGUUCUAGACUAUGCUGCUGUCCAUACGUCUUCAGUUGUGGUUUAGUUCUAUCUUUUAUUCACAAUAAGAAUACAUUUUUCCAGUAUAUGUACCCCUGAAUUGAUGCUGGGAGUGGUUAAGGAUGCAAGAAUCUCAUACAAUUUUAAUAAGAAACCAAGACUGCUUUUUGGCCCCGUCUGCUCUUUUUAACCAGAAUGAGUGCAUCUUCCAACUUCUACGUGUCCCUUGUCAUUUGUUCAAUGUGAGGACUUCUCCAAGGGUAAUACUAGGCACAGACACCAUACUUUCUAGGAUAUUUUUCCAUUCUCUGUCUAAUGGGGAUUUUGUGGCAUCAGAAAUACUGAUGUAAAUCAACCUUAUCCUCAACUUAGAUAAGAGCACAUUUCUCAAUGAAUCUUCUUUUUCUCUGUUUUUAUCUUGUCACAAUAAACAAUCAGCAGUCCCGAGGAAUGCUGUAAUUAAAAUAUCCUGGAGGAAUUCUUGUUGUUAUGGAUACUCUUAAGUGCACUGAAAAGUGCCAUGGGUUACUGUGAAGAAAUAAAUACUAAUAUAUAGUCUUCUGACAUUUCUUUAACCUGGUGUGGCAGGAGGGGAUGGAGUAUAUGGAACAAAGGUAUGCACUUUUAUCCAGAUAACGUGUCACAACUGGAAUACAGAGCAUUUCUUCAAUUUUUUUUUACUCUUUUUAGAAAGUACUCUUUUUAAGAAAGUAUUUUCAAAUAGCAUGAAACCCACCGUGUCAAAUGGAAAUUCAGGCUUUGAAUUUCACUGUCUUUAUCGCAGAUUCCUCUGCAGGAGUCCUCCUUCAGAGGUCACCCUCCUCAGCAUGGCUCCAGACACCUCACAAGGACCUGGUGGGUGGGUGAGCAGAUAGAUGGGGGUCUGGGCCAGCUGGGUGACUUACCUGGUAACAUGAGGUACUGAGCAGCAGAGCCAGAGCUAAUGCCUUGGUGUGCAGGGUGCCUUUCUCCUUUAUCACCUUCCGAUCUGAGAUUCGCCGUUCCUCUUCAUUUCCAGUAACGACAUUCUGGAGGGGAAUUUGUCAAACACCCUUUGAAAGUCCAAAUAAUCUAUGUCAUUUGGUUUUUCUCUCCUUGCUCUUGCUGACAGCCACAAAGGAUUCUAACAGAUUAGAGAGGACAUCUUUUUUUUUCCUUUUUUUCUUCUUAGAGAAGGAUGGGUUUGUCUUUACCAUAUUCCCUUCAUAGCUUCAACCACUAUUGCCUGUACUAAAGUAAGGCUUCUCGCUCUGCAAGCACUGCUGGGCAUUUGUGUAUGUAUGUGUAGAUAUACAUUUGCAUAUAUGUAUCUGAUAUUACUUUAUAGCUUCUUUGUUUCUGAAGAUGUAUUAAAAAGCUUUGGUAAAAAAAAGUCACUUGGUAUCUGUUCAGCCACUUAAUUUUCCAGGUGUUGUUUAUAUCCUUUAAUCAAACCAAUCUGUUUUGUUAAUUUGAUGCACUGUUAUCUAUUUUGAUACCUUUAUCCCUCAUUUUACUCCUCCUCACUGGAAAGUAAUGGUUCGACAGCGUUCACUGCUGUGAAUAU